AUGUUUGGACAUUCUUUAAAUGACCCCAACUUUUGUAAGCAUGUGGGCAUCCCAAUGGUUGGCAUCCAUGUUAGGUUUGAACGACUUCCGAUGCCGUAUGCAAGUGUCGCAAAUGUCGUGCCAUUUAUCGCUCUUUUUUUACCGAGAAAAUUUCAGAAAAUGCAAAAUUUUGUCGAAAACCAAAAUAACUUGGCAUGCCUUGAAUUGAUCAUACAAGGCCAUGGAAAUUUAGGCCAUUUGAAGGAUGUCGGGAUACAGGGUGCUCUCAAGCGAAACCUUGUGGCCACCCGAACACCCUCCGUUGAAUUUUUUUUGCCAUUCAUGAAAUGGUCUUAA
rnacentral:rRNA from 1 species